rnacentral:rRNA from 1 species
GGGCCCGCACAAGCGGUGGAGCAUGUGGUUUAAUUCGAUGAUACGCGAGGAACCUUACCAGGGCUUAAAUGUAAGUUGCAUAGAUCAGAGAUGGUCUUUUCUUCGGACUACUUACAAGGUGCUGCAUGGUUGUCGUCAGCUCGUGCCGUGAGGUGUCAGGUUAAGUCCUAUAACGAGCGCAACCCCUGUCGUUAGUUACCAGCAAGUAAUGUUGGGUACUCUAGCGAGACUGCCGGUGCAAACCGUGAGGAAGGUGGGGACGACGUCAAGUCAUCAUGGCCCUUACGUCCAGGGCUGCACACGUGCUACAAUGGUCGGUACAAUGGGUCGCCACCCAGCGAUGGGGCGCAAA